rnacentral:lncRNA from 1 species
UCGAUUUUAAUAAUAAUUAAUUAAUUAUAAUAAUGCUUAUUACAAUAAUAAUAAUAAUAUUUAUAAUAUUCAUAAUUACACAGAUUUACAUGACAGAGUUACGCGUGCUGCGCUAUACGCCCGUCUUCUUCCUUUUCUUUAUCGUUAUUGUUCUCAUUUAUUAUAAUAUAUUCAUCAUCAUCACCGACCCCAUAGGUAUAGUCGUGUGUUAUGAUUCGCUUCCUCUAACGUUCUGUCAUUUUCCCUCGCGACCCCCCUCCCCUCUCUCGUUUUCAAACUACUCAUCGAUCUAACCACAUUCGAUAUCGUCAUUUUGCCAUGUUUUUUUUUUAUCAUUGAUCGCAUCAUUCUUGCGUCUUUCCGGCUCUGGCUCCCGCUUGAUAUAUAUAUAUAUAUAUAUAUAUAUAUAUAUACGCUCCACAUGUCAUCUGUCUCCACGUAGCCUUGUGAAUGUUCGCUCUCUUUCCUCUCUCUCCCCCUCUCCCUCUCUCUUUUUCCCUUGACAACUUUCAUUUGCUACGAACGAAUUUCCAUCUAUCUAUCUAUCCUGUCCUUGUUCCUGCCCUAACAUAGUGUUUGAUGUAUGUGGACCUGGUAAAUUCUUGCGCUUCUAGGACGACAUUAAUCUGACCACCAAGAUUUGUUGCUGUUGCCGAGACGCCCGUACGAAAAUAUGUGCGCGGCCACCACUGAACCAUCUUUAAGACUUUUGCUGAAAACGUUCGAUUCUUUCUGCGCUCGAUUUGUUGACGGCUCAGCCCACACAUACAAAUCCUUUGGUGGGAUGAGUCAGUGACUUUUAUUAUCUACUUCAUAAAUCUAUCAACUUCUACUAUGUCAUUCGUUGUUUCUGUUUUUUGGCCAUUUUUGCAUCUUUGCAUCGGUUUCUCAGUCCUAUCGCGACAUCUCGGCAUACGAUUGGUCAUUUUUGGCUAUAAACAUGAGUGGGUUCGAGUGCGCUUAGCAAAGCCGAAAUUCGAAAUUAGUGGUCAAAUCAUGCACGUUCCAGUCUGUUGCUAUAUCUGCUUUCUGAUUCGGGUUUCUUGCAACGUUCGGCACACGGGAUACAACCAAUUUUUCAUAGGGAGGACCUGGUUGUUACACUUCCAGCAUAGAUCAUUAAUAGUAUUUUCUUUUUAGCAUUAGUUGUUAUCAUCAACAUUGUCGUUAUCGUCUUUAUAUAAUUAUUCUUUUUCACGUUUAUCUUAAUUGUAAUCUUAUCGUAAUAUUUAUAAUAUUGGUACUAAUAAUCAUCUUCGUCAUCAUAUCAAUAGUUGUUUAUCUUUGUUGUUUGUGUGUCUGUGUGUAUCUUGUUUUGUUCUAUGUUUAUCUCUAUAGUUAUAAUCGUUACUCUAUUACAAUACACCAUUACUGCAUAUUCCGACGACUUUUGCAUCAGGGUCGCCCACUGGCGGCUUCGGCGGCGUUACGGGUACGCUUUGGCUGUUAUAUUCAUCAUCCAUUUUUAUCAUUGUUAUACUAUAUUAUUUCCCUCCUCCUCCUCCUCCUCCUUCUCGUUUUCCAUUUUGCUGUAGUUCGACAUCAGUUAUAUAAUUAAUAUAAUCAUCGACAUCAUCACUAUUAUCCUUAUAUAGUUAUUUUUCGGGUGAGUUUGUUAUUUUCUGUUUCCCUAGUCUAAAUAACGCUCCUGUUUUUGUGCAUCUGGAUUUAUGGUUGUUGACUUGUGUGUUUGCCCUUAUCACCCCCUAAUGCUUGCUACUAAUGUUUUAGCUUUGUCCUCUGUGUUUUUUUCUUUGUGUUCAGUUCAGUAUCAUAGAGCUGGGUUCGAUUCGUGUAUUUUGUCAAUUACGAUCUUUUUUUUUUUUUACUAGUUGUUGUACCUCGUCAAGUCUGUGUCAUAGACGAUAACGGUAUCAAUAGUUGUCGUCGUCUUCGCUUUUUCUGAUACACUAAAUAAUAAUCAAUCAAUCAACCAACAACAAGAAAAGAGGUCUUGCUUUCAAGAUGACUAGAUUAUUUGCCGCUACGCUUAUUACUAUUAUCAUCGUUUUUUACCAUUCUAGUUUGCAGUGAGUUUUUUCAGUGUGUCGCACUCUGCCUUUUCAUCUGUUUCAUGUUAGCUUCGUCCGGUUCUAUUGUGCUUUCUUGACAUAUGUUGUACUCACGUGAGUACGUGGCUAUUUAUGAUAAUCCCCAUAGGUAACUAUAAUAUUAGCAUUACUGCCCAUAGUAUAUUAUAUCUAUGUGCAUUUACGAUCAUAUUUCUUCUAUCUUCCUCGUUAUGUUAGUAUUAUUAUUAUUAUUAUGAUCAGCGUCAUUGUUCUGCGAUUCGAUCAAAUUUUCUAAUUACCCUCUUUUUCGUUCCGCUUUUGGCGUCGUCACUGUUUCACGUCAGUGCUUUGUGUGUGUCGAUCUGAUGUCGAUGUGUUUAUUUAUAUGGCUUGCCGAUCAUUUUGUUACUUAUGCCCAUCCCAUCGUCUGUUUUGUAUCUAGUUUAGCGUUUUCUUUUACUCGUCUCGAUCAAUAUCAGUGAUCAACUGUUUUGUUGCAGUACUUGUUGUCUGUUUUUGUCGUUAAUCGUAAUAAUAAUAAUAAUAAUAAUAAUAAUAAAAUAAAAAUCAGCAUCAUCAUUAUCAGUAAUUAGCAGUAUCUAAGUGCAUAUACCUUGUCUUGUACACGGAAAGGGCGAAGAGGUUUACGCGAUAUUGGCCAACAGAAACAGCAUUAGUUCGUGCCGACACCUAACACACCUGCCCACAUGUAUAGUCUCUAUUUAUUUGUAUAGUGGUUUCCCUGGCCAGCGACGACAGUGCACGUCUGUGAUAUAUAUAUAUACAUGUAUAUAUCAAAGUACCAUGUCAAUGCCUAAAUGCACUGGAGAAGAUCGGCCAAUGCUGUCUUGUACACACCACUAGCCAAAAGCAGGUCUUUCCUUGCCAAACCAACAAAUGAAAGCGAACUGGGUUAGGUGAUUGCGAAAUAUAUCUUAGGAGUUGGGUUUUGAAGAAGAUGAAAUGAGUUUGGCGCCAAAAGAUGCCACCCAAUAGGGCUGUUCGUUGCGGGCAGCAGUCAGUUAUAGCGAACGAUAAAUUGGACUAUUUAUGUCGGCCUCUAUUCGUACAUUAUGAAAUCUUAUCCGUGUUUGUAUGUUAUACUGUUGGUUCGUAGGUGUCCACACGAAUUUGCUUAACGUAGGCCGUUAUCGUCUUCACCCCUGGCGGACCGACAGAUGGUCUUAUCGCGACAAAUGGAACGCAUCGGCAUAGCGAUUCUUACCAUUACGACCUGUAACAUCCAACAACGAUGCCAAUAACAAUUGUAGAACGAAACUCGUAUUGAAACCAUGUCUGGCGUUACGUCUGCUUUACGUAAAGCGUUUAACGCUCGAACUGGCGGUCGGCUGAAGAAGGACAUUUGUUUUUUUAUUUUACGACCCGACGCCACCUGCCAACCAGGAUGGCCAGCCCUGCGGAAGCGGAUAGGGAAGGCGGCCAGUUAGGUACAGUCAUUACAUCGUCUAUACGACGCGACCUUGUCUAAUCGAGUCGUUGCUCCUUCGUCGCCUGAAUUACACUGGAUUGGUCACGUGGCUACUUAAAGAUUUCUCAUCGAUAGCAAUCAAUCAGUCACUGAUCAUCAUCAUCAUCAUCAUCAUCAUCAUCAUCAUCUACUUUAGUUCAGCAGUUUGUUUACUUCUGUCAAUACGGUUUUUGUUAUUGUUUCAUAUAUAUAUAUAUAUAUAUAUAUAUAUAUAUAUAUAUAUAUAUAUACUGUUUUUGUGAUGCCAGAGGAUACAUACAUCACCGUACACACACUUACCGCACCCGCAAACUGCUGGGGCACAAUCAUACCACUUCAUUCUACUAAUAGCUUCUAACUUUCGCUCAGUGUCGUUUUCGCUCUUACUUCAGUUGUUUCCUCAUUCUCUCACACAGUUCAAACUCAGUUUUGUUGUAUUAUUCAUUGUUUAGUUAAAAAUGCAUAUAAUCACGUUGUGUGUUGUCAGCGAAGGUGCUAAAACAACACCGCCCACCAGUAUGGCUUAUACAUUUAUAUUAGAAAGUAAGUAUUGGAUAGACAGGCUGGGCUCGAAAUACGACCCGCACUUUUCUUUUUCAGGUUCCCAUUUUCCGUGUGGCAGGCAGCUGACAAGCAGAGGACAUCCGGUGAUUGGAGGCGAUCAACGGUCAGCGACUCGGUCUUUGUUUGGGUUCGCCAGUCACUUGAAAUAAACUUACGCAGUGGAAUUUAUAGUGGAGGGACGACCACAACUUGUCUGUAAAUGAGUUCACAGGAUACUAAGUUUUUUCCUGCUGAAUAAAUACAAUUUUUUGGCUUAAUGUCGCCAUCGCUUCGAUCGCCGCUCCUUUGAAGCAAAUAUCAAUUUAAAUGACGUUUAGCUCCCUGUUUGUCUCUAUUCGACCUCGUCACCAAGUCAUCAUUCGGUCAAUAUUGUCGUUGACAAUUAGUUCCUUUUCAAAGCUUCCGCUGUUAACCCAAGACGUAGCUGAAGGCAAGGUCGCGUAUUGCUUCGCACCUCUGCAUCGUUAUGGCUUUGGUUUAGAGAUCAUAAGUGAUCAGUUUCAUCAUUAACUUCCUUACGAAUGUCAUUAUCGUUAUCACCGUCAACGGAGAUCAUUUUUCCUUUGCAAAUUUCUUAGAAACCAAAUGCGGUCCGGUCCGGUUCGGUUCUUCCUGUCAUUUGCACGCUGUACUUGUCAACUACACCUAGCGGUACUAUGCUAUCGGUCAGCAUCACUCUUCUUUAUCUCACCGUCAACCCCGAGACCGACUUUUCAACCAUCAUAUAUUUUCCUUCAUGGAUGGUCUAUACUCGUCAACUCGUUAACAUCUGGC